UUGUUUCAGCAGCACAUACAUAAAAACUUAGAAUGAUACAGGGAAGAUUAGCACGGCCCCUGCACAAGGACCACUGGCAAAUUCAUCGAGCGGUUGUUUUUGUGU